rnacentral:rRNA from 1 species
GUCCACGCCUUAAACGAUGUCAACUAGGUUGUAGAGGCUCUGACGCCGUUACAGCCGAAGCAAAAGUGUUAAGUUGACCGCCUGGGGAGUACGGUCGCAAGGCUAAAACUCAAAGGAAUUGACGGGGGCUCACACAAGCGGUGGAGCAUGUGGAUUAAUUCGAAGCAACGCGCAGAACCUUACCUUGGUUUGACAUGUACGGAUGCUUCCCUGGAAACAGGGUAAGUUACCGCAAGGUGAAACGUAUACAGGUGCUGCAUGGCUGUCGU